rnacentral:rRNA from 1 species
CGGCGAACGGGUGAGUAACACGUGGGCAACCUGCCCCUAGCACUGGGAUAACUCCGGGAAACCGGGGCUAAUACCGGAUAUGACCUUUGAGGGCAUCCUUUGAGGUGGAAAAAUUUAUUGGCUAGGGAUGGGCCCGCGGCCUAUCAGCUUGUUGGUGAGGUAACGGCCCACCAAGGCUUCGACGGGUAGCCGGCCUGAGAGGGCGACCGGCCACACUGGGACUGAGACACGGCCCAG